rnacentral:rRNA from 1 species
ACGCUGGCGGCAGGCUUAACACAUGCAAGUCGAACGGUAACAGGGAUUAGCUUGCUAAUUUGCUGACGAGUGGCGGACGGGUGAGUAAUGCUUGGGAAUCUGGCUUAUGGAGGGGGAUAACUACGGGAAACUGUAGCUAAUACCGCGUAAUAUCGGAAGAUUAAAGGGUGGGACUUUCGAGCCACCUGCCAUAAGAUGAGCCCAAGUGGGAUUAGGUAGUUGGUUAGGUAAAGGCUGACCAAGCCGACGAUCUCUAGCUGGUCUGAGAGGAUGACCAGCCACACUGGAACUGAGACACGGUCCAGACUCCUACGGGAGGCAGCAGUGGGGAAUAUUGCACAAUGGGGGGAACCCUGAUGCAGCCAUGCCGCGUGAAUGAAGAAGGCCUUCGGGUUGUAAAGUUCUUUCGGUGACGAGGAAGGUUGAUAGGUUAAUAGCCUAUCAAAUUGACGUUAAUCACAGAAGAAGCACCGGCUAACUCCGUGCCAGCAGCCGCGGUAAUACGGGGGGUGCGAGCGUUAAUCGGAAUAACUGGGCGUAAAGGGCACGCAGGCGGUGACUUAAGUGAGAUGUGAAAGCCCCGAGCUUAACUUGGGAAUUGCAUUUCAUACUGGGUCGCUAGAGUACUUUAGGGAGGGGUAGAAUUCCACGUGUAGCGGUGAAAUGCGUAGAGGUGUGGAGGAAUACCGAGGGCGAAGGCAGCCCCUUGGGAAUGUACUGACGCUCAUGUGCGAAAGCGUGGGGAGCAAACAGGAUUAGAUACCCUGGUAGUCCACGCUGUAAACGAUGUCGAUUUGGGGAUUGGGCUUUGAGCUUGGUGCCCGUAGCUAACGUGAUAAAUCGACCGCCUGGGGAGUACGGCCGCAAGGUUAAAACUCAAAUGAAUUGACGGGGGCCCGCACAAGCGGUGGAGC